UAGAUUGAAGCCAGUUGAUUAGGGUGUUUAGCUGUUAACUAAGUGUUUGUGGGUUUAAGUCCCAUUAAUCUAG
rnacentral:tRNA from 1 species